rnacentral:lncRNA from 1 species
CACAAAAGCGAUUCUUCCCAUCGAGGGGUCAAAGGAUUAAUUAAUUAAUAUUUGGUCAAUUUAUAAGAAAAAAGGGAGGAAUGGAAAAUACAUUGAGUAUAACCUGAGAUUUUGCAGAAACAAAUCCGAUAUGACAUGUAAACUAAAACGAAAACACAUCCUACAUCUAAAUAUUAAACAUUUUUUUUCUUUUUAUUUAUCAAUUAUUUUUUUUUUUUAAUAAAUGUGGAAAUUUUUCAAAUCAGACAGAAAAAAAAUAAAAUAGAAUAAAAAAGCAGGUUUUUCUUACCUCCUGUUCACUCUCAUCCCUGAAACAUAGGCAGGCUGCCCGUCUUCGAAAACCUUCUUCAUCGUACGUCCUUAGAGUUUUCGUUUUUUGCUUAACCAUAUCAGUGGUACCCUGAAGAAUUUUGGUAAGAUUUCUGAAUCCUUCUUUCUGUCCUUCCAAUUUCUUCGGUUUUUUUUUUUAAUAUUAAUAUUAAUUUAUAGUAAUUUAUUUUGAUUCAAUUUUAUUAUAUUUUCCGGGCUUUUGUGUAUAUUAUUAUUAUUAUUAUUAUUGUUACAGUUUGUUGUUUGUUUUUUCUUCUUGAUUUUAUUUCUUUGAUAUUUAUAUUUAUAUUUAUAUUUCCUCGUGUUUUACUUUGUUGGAGCUGAUUAUCAUCAUCAUCAUUAUUAUUAUUAUUAACAAUUAAAUAUCAUUAAUAACAACAGCAAAUAACAAUGUGAUGAUAGAACGACGGUGAGGAAGAUAGAAUGACAAAAAAAAAAAAAUAUUAGGAAGAUGAGAUCUAAGAGAGAAUGGGAUCUAAGGGAGAAUGGGUCAGUGUGUGAAGAGUGUAAAAGAAAGGAAUAUUUAUCUAAAACUGCGAAGAGAUGAAGAAAGACAGUGUGUGUGUAUGUAUGUAUGUAUGUGUGUGUGUGUGUGUGACUGAGAAUGAAUGAGUGGGAAAUGUGACAAACAACAACAAGAACAAUAACAAAGAACUGGACAAGAAGGGAGAUCAAACAACGGUUGUGGCGGGGGUGACACCUGAUCCACGUGCUGCUAGGGCGGCAACGGCGGAGAAGGAUGUCUCAGUUUGUCUACAGCUGUUGUUGUUGUGAUUAUUAUUAUUAUUAUUAUUAUUAUAGUAGUUGUUUAUAUGGUGGAGGUUGUUGUUGUUGUUGGUGGUGGCGAUGUUGUUGUGAGUGUGGGGCAGGUUAUUAAUAUUAUUAUUAUUAUUAUUAUUAUUAUUAGCGGUCAGAACACGGAGAGGAGCGACAGCUGGUUUGCUGGAAAUAGAAGAGGAAGGAAGGAGGAAGCCGACGAAGUCGGAGAGAGGAGACGUACAACAGCAACAACAAGAACAACAAUUAUUACUAUUACUAUUAUUAUUGUUAUUGUUAUUAUUAUUAUUAUCACGACUACAAACACGGUGGCGAUUGCGAUGACAAUGGUGAUGUGUGUAACAACGACGACGAUGACGACAAUGAUGAUGAUGAUGACAGAAAGUAAAAGGAAGAGAUAGAGAACAAAUGGAAGAGGAAGGAGCAGGGCAACGAGGAGAGGCUUUGGCUUUUUCGGAACUGAUAUUACUGGCGCCCCGUACAACACCUUUAGCCAUUUUCUGCCUGGCAACCACCACGGUGAUUAUUGCCACUGCUCGGGUUUGUGGCAGAAGAGGUCGAGGAGCAGAGGAGCUGAAGUGAUUUAUAUACACAGACAGACGAGUAUAUAGUGUGUUCAGACAUAUGGGUAAAUUAUGUGUCUAACUAAGAAGUAUAUACACAUAUAUAUCACACAUGACGUACGUAUAUGUAAAGGUGCGUGAUUGAAAGAAGAAUAAAGGUGUAUAAAUGUGUAUAUAAACGUGUCUGUGUGCUGUGUGGUGUGUAGAAAAGAUGAGAGAUAUAGAAGAAAGCUGCGUGUAUAUAUAUGUAUGUGUGUAUAAUAAGAAUAUGUAUGAACGGGUAUGAGAUAUAUGUAGAAAAUCUGUGUAGUGUAUGAGGUGUAUUUAAUAGAGAAUGUAUAUGUGUGUAUGUAUGUGUAUUUGUAGAUUAUCUAUUAAAGUAUGGGUGUAAAGAACAACGUAUGUUUAUGUGUGUGUGUGUAUAUAUAUGUAUAUAUAAUAAGAAAAUGUAUGAACGGGUAUGAGGUAUAUGUAGAAAAUCUGUGUAGUGUAUGAGGUGUAUUUAAUAGAGAAUGUAUAUGUGUGUAUAUUGGUAGAUGAUCUAUUAAAGUAUGGGUGUAAAGAACAACGUAUGUUUAGGUGUGAGUGUGUAGAUGUUGGUAUAUAUUUCUGUCUAUGUACAUGAACGUAUGUCGAGGAUAGUCCGACCUAAGAAAAUUAGAUGUCGGUGUGUGUGAGUGUGAGUGUAUAACCAACCUUACUGAACAAAAACUAAAAAGGUGGUUGAGUUAUUGUGUAGUUUAGAUCUUUGGUUACCAAGAUUCCAAAUGUGUUCUUGCUGUUGGUGCUGGUGCUUCUGAUGAUGAUGAUGCUGCUGGCUGAAUACACUUGCGAGUGUAAGGAAGAAAAACAAGUAAUACGGACAUAGAAUGCGGCUAACCCGGCCCAGGGCUUCCACAUACGAGCCCGGUAGGUCGCCUUGGAAGUCCAUUUAGAGGCUUAAAAAAUAAAUAACACCGGUUAAGACGGGGAAAAGAAAAUUUUUAAAAAAAUACGCAAAAAAUAUAAAAAAAAAGGAAGUUUUCUUUUGUGUUUUUUUUUGCUUCUGUUGUUUUUCUGAAGACAAAACAACAAUUAAAAAUAACCAGUCCGGUUUGGACCGGAAUAGUUCGGCUACGUUGGGAUUGACAUGAAAAAUAAAUUAGUGUAUAGUAUUUAAAAAAAUAAUUAUAAUUAUAAUUAAUUAAUUAAUUAAGGGGCAGCAAUUACCUCCACUGAGGUGUGUAUAUAUAUAUAUAUAUAGAGAUAUAGAGAGAGAGAGAGAGAGAGAUAUAGAUAUAUAUAUAUAUCUUAUAUAUAGAGAUAUAUAUAUAAUUAUAUAUGUAUGUAUAUGUAUGUAUAUAUAUAUAUAUAUAUAUAUAUAUGUGGGGGUGUAUGAGAGAGUAAAGUUAGUGUUUGUAAUUAAGAAAAUAAAGGGAAAAAAAGCAAAAGUGACAACAGAGGUGGGUAUCUUUUUACCUUAGUUUCGUGCUUUGAGUAAUUCCUUUUUAUAUAUAUAUAUAUAAAUAUACAUACAUAUAUAUAUAUAUAUAGAUAGAUAGAUAUAUUAGAUUUCUUGACUCUCCCCUUGUCUCAAAAAUACUGGAAAACAAUAAAUAUAUACGUAGUAGUAAUAAUACUAAUAAUAAUAAUGGAUAAUUCAGCGGUGAAAUAGAUCCUCGCUAUACCUCCUCGCAACCCCCAUUGCUUGUCCCCUCUCUUCUCCCUCCCCGUUAGAUAAAUCCACUCCUCAUGUGUAUAUUGCAUACAUACAUAUCAUAUACAUACAUAUAUACACUUAUAUAUAUAUGUAUAUAUAUAUAGUGCUAUGUAUGUGUGUUUGUUGUGUUAUAUGAAUAGGUUAGUGCUUGGUUUUUUUGUGAUUUUUGCUGUUGUAUGUCCUUCGAUCGUAUAAAUCUGGGGUGAAUGGCACCAGGAGUGUCUUUUUGUGUUAUUGUGUUGGGUUUUUUUCUUUUAAAUUAACAGACAGUGUUAAUUGUUUUCUGUUUUGCUUUGUUUUUGUCUUUUUGUUUUGUUGUUGUUGUUUUUUUUUUCCAGUGGUGGUGGUGGUGUGGUGCGUGCGUGCAGCUGACGGCGGCUGCACACUUUUGGUAAUAUAACCAACAACCUUAUAAGAGGAGAAGAAGAAGACUUGAAUAUAAACUAAACCGAAAGCCAAACCAAGAAUAUUUUAAAUGGCUUUGGCGCUGUUGGCUUGUUAACCAACGUAGAGUAGUCUACCCUUGUUUAGAGAGAGAGAGAGAAGAAAUAGAAGAGGGAAAAGAAAGAUAGAUAAUGAGUGAGGGCGAGAGAGAAGAAAUAGGAGAGGGAAAAGAAAGAUAGAUAAUGAGUGAGGGCGAGAGAGAGAGAGAGAGAAGAAAUAGGAGAGGGAAAAGAAAGAUAGAUAAUGAGUGAGGGCGAGAGAGAAGAAAUAGGAGAGCGAAAAGAAAGAUAGAUCGUAGUGAGAGAGUGAGAGAGAGGAAAGAAAUAGAAGAGGGAAAAGAUAGAUCGUGAGUGAGUUAGUGAGUGAGAGAGGAAAGGAAUAGAAGAGGGAAAAGAUAGAUCGUGAGUGAGUUAGUGAGUGAGAGAGGAAAGGAAUAUAAGAGGGGGAAAAGAAAGAUAGAUCGUGAGUGAGAGAGGAAAGGAAUAGAAGAGCGAAAAGAAAGAUAGAUAAUGAGUGAGGGAGAGAGAGAGAGAGAGGAAAGGAAUAGAAGAGGGGGAAAAGAAAGAUAGAUCAAUGUGAGAGAGAGAGAAAAGAAAUACAAGAGGGAAAAUAAAGAUAGAUUGUGAGUGAGAGGGAGAAGAGGGGAAAAGAAAGAUAGAUCGUACUGAGAGAGACAGAGAGAGGAAAGAAAUAGAAGAGGGGAAAGAGAGGUAGAUCGUAGUGAGUGAGAUAGAGAGAGUAAAAUCAGUAAAGGAAAAGGAAUGAGGGUGGAGUAAAGAAAGUGAAAGAAGCAUAAGUGUGAGGUAAGCUGUAGAAGGAGAGAGAUAGGGAAGAAUGAGAGAGGGGGAGAGAAAGAAAGGAGACAAAGUGAUUCGGAACAAAGAGUGAGACGAAAGGGGAGGAAGGAGACAAAGUGAUUGAAAGUAAAAACGGAGGAAGAGCGACGACAAAGUGAUAAAGAACAAAAUGAGAGGUGGAAGAGAAAAGGAUAGAGAACAAUGGGAGGGGGAAAGAGGGAGAGAAAGUGAUUGAGAGCGAAGUGAGAGAGGUAGAGAGUAUUAAUAGCUAAUGUUGAUGUCGAAGACGAUAGAUACACAGAAAGAUAGAAGACAAGGAAUGAUGGAUGGAUUGAUGGAUGGAUAGGUAGAUAGACGGAGAGAGAUAGAUAAAUGGAUAGAUAUACAGAGAGGGGUAGAUAGAUAGAUAGAUAGAGAGAGAGAGGUAGAGAGAGAGAGAGAUAGAUAGAUAGAUAGAUAGAUAGACAGAUAGAUAGAAAGACAGAGAGAGGUAGAUAGAUAGGUAGACAGAGAGAGAGCUAGAUAGAUAGACAGACAGAGAGAGAGCUAGAUAGAUAGAUAGAUAGAUAGAAAGACAGAGAGAGGUAGAUAGAUAGGUAGACAGAGAGAGAGCUAGAUAGAUAGACAGAGAGAGAGAGAGAGAGAGAUAGAUAGAUAGAUAGAUAGAUAGAUAGACAGAUAGAUAGAAAGACAGAGAGAGGUAGAUAGAUAGGUAGACAGAGAGAGAGCUAGAUAGGUAGAUAGAUAGAUAGAUAGAUAGAUAGACAGAGAGAGAGGUAGAUAGAUAGAUAGAUAGAGAGAGGUACUUGUACGAAAUCGAAAGGAGAAAAAAGAAAUAAAUUUAAGAGGUGAGACAGGAUGGAAGUGAAAGUAUACGGAUAGAGAUACAGAAAGUAAACGAACGAUGUAUAAACAGAAAAAGAUGAGGAGAGAGAGAGAGAGAGAGGUGUUAGACUAAAAAGUGUUGGCACGAUAUAGGUGUACGAGUAUUAGAAAGAUAUAAACACAAUGGUAGACGGAACGAUAGAGAUAAUAAUAAUAACGAUGAUAAUAAUAAUAAUAAUAAUAAUAAUGAUAAUAAUAAUACUACUACUACUAAUAAUAAUAAUGAUGAUGAUGAUGAUGAUGAUGAUAAUAAUAAUGAUAAUAAUAAUAAUACUAAUAAUAAUAAUAAUAAGAAGAGAGAAGAAGAGAAGAAGAAGAAGAAGAAGAAGAAGAAGAAGAAUAAGGUGAUGAUGAUGAUGAAGAAGAAGAAGAAGAAGAAGAAGAAGAAGAAGAAGAAGGUGAUGAAGAAGCAGAAGAAGAAGAAUUUUGGCACAAAGCCAGUAAUUCUAAGGGAAGUAGUCGAUUACAUCGACUUUAGUAUUUGAUUGGUAUUUUAUUUUAUUUUAUUGACCCCCCGAAAGGAUGGAAGGCAAAGUUUGUCUUCGGCGGAAUUUGAACUCGAAACGAAACGAGCCUCGAGAAAUGAAUGUAGUGCUGAACAGGAGCAAAAGUAGAAGAAAUUGAAAAGUAGAUAUGUUUGUAGUGAUAAUAAUAAGAUACAUCGGAAGAGAGAGAUGGUUUGAAAGACAGACAGGAAGAUGGUAAGAGAGAGAGAGAGAGAGAAACACACUCGAGGAAUGACAGAAAAGUCAGGCAGAGAGGAGAUAAAUAGAUUGACGGUGUGAGGGUGAUAAAUAGAUAGACAGAUAGAUAGACAGAGAAUGAUAGCUAGAGAGAGAAAUAGAUAGAUAGAUAGACAGACAGACAGAGAAAGAGAGAGGUAGAUAGACAGAUAGAUAGAUAGACAGAGAAAGAGAAAGGUAGAUAGAUAGAUAGAUAGAUAGAUAGACAGACAGAUAGAUAGAGAAUGAUAGCUAGAGAGAGAGACAGACAGACAGACAAAGGAAAGUAGGAGAGAAGCUUUUUUUGCAAAUGCUUCUUGUACUGAGCAAGCGCUAUCAGUUCUUUCUCUCUCUCUCUCUUUCUCUUUUUUUAGUUCUUUCCUUUUUCUCUUUCUCUCAUUCUUUCUUGCAACUGGAAUGUGCAUUCUUAAACAACAACCUACCUUAUAUGAUUUGUUGUGCCGAUGGCUUGCUUAAAGUUCGUUUCUUGCCUAUUUUUCUUAGUCUGAUUAUUGGGAUUAAGAGAGGGAAGCUACCUCUGAUUUCUUCACUUUUUUUGUUUUCUUUCUGAAUGAAGACAAAAAAAAAAAAUGGUAUUUCGGGCCGCAGGUGAUAUAUUUACAUAUAAUUGUAAUAGUAUGCGUUUAUUUAACUCUCGUACACGUUUUCCGCUAUUUUAGUCAAUUGCUAUGUUUGAAUAACUGGCUCCAAGCAUCAAAUUAGAUAUGUCAGUAUACCCUUAAUAAUAAUAAUAAUAAUCCUUUCUACCAUAGGCACAAGGCCUGAAAUUUUGUGAGAGGGGUUUAGUCGAUUGCAUCAACCCUAGUUCUUGACUGAUAUUUAUUUUACCGACCCCGAAAGGCAAAGUCGACCUAGACAGCAUUUGAACUCAGAAUGUCAAGAGCCGGAAGCAGGGCUACUAAACAUUUUUCCGGCUUGCUAACAAUUUACCAGUUCGCCACUUUAUCGCUUUACAUAAUAAUCUUUUCUAUUCUAGUCACAAGGCCCGAAAUUUUGGGGUAGGUUGCCAGUCGAUUAGUUUGACUCCAGUACGCAACUGGUACUUAAUUUAUCGACCCCGAAAGGAUAAAAGGCAAAGUCAACCUCGGCGGAAUUUGAACACAGAACGUCAAGAGCCAGAAGAAAUGCUACUAAAUAUUUUUCCGGUUUGCUAAGAAUUCAACCGGUUCGCCACCUUAUCGCUCUUCAUAAUAAUGAUAAUCCUUUCCACAACAGACACAAAAUAUUCUACAAUAGACGCUGAAAUUUAGAGGGACGUGGGGUGGAUUAUAUCAACUCCAGUGCCAGGUGUAUGUUAACGAUUCUUACCAGCUCGUCGCUUUUUCGACAGAAUUUAAUAAUAAUAAUAAUAAUAAUAUAAUGGUUUCUAAUUUUGGCACAAAGCCAGCAGGUUUGGUGAAGGGGCUAAGUUGAUCACAUCGACCCCAGUGUUCAACUGGUCCUUAUUUUAUCGACCCGGAAAGGAUAAAAGGCAAUGUCAACCUCGGCGGAGUUCGAACUCAGAACAUAACCCCGGACGAAAUGCUGCUGUGUAUUUUUACCCGGCGUGCUAACGAUUCUGCCAGCUAGGCGCAAUGCCUGAAUUUGGGAUCGGUGGAGUUAAGAUAGGGGCUAGUCGAUUACAUAGAUCCUAGUACUCAAUUGGUGCUUAUUUUAUCGACCCCCGAAAGAAUGAUAGGAGAAGUCAACUUCGAUGGAAUUUGAAUAUUGAUAAUAAUUAAUAUACAAUUAAUAAUUAAUAUACAAUUAAGGCGGCGAGCUGGCAGAAACGUUAGUAAGCCGACGUUCUGAGUUCAAAUUCCGCCGAGGUCGACUUUGCCUUUCAUCCUUUCGGGGUCGAUAAAUUAAGUACCAGUUACGCACUGGAGUCGAUGAAAUCGACUUAAUCCGUUUGUCUGUCCUUGUUUGUUCCCUCUGUGUUUAGCCCCUCGUGGGUAGUAAAGAAAUAGAUAAUAAUUCAUAUACGCGAACAGUGUUGAUAGAUAGCACCUGUGUUAAAGUACGCGAUGUCAGAAACUUUAAUUCAAUGACUGGGGAAGCUUCGAUUAAAAAAACGAAAAAGAAAAAGAAGACUAUUUGUAUUUUUUAUUAUAUUCUGUGGUGAAAUCCGCUAGACCACAACACGGCAGCGAACCAUCGUGGGAACCACUGCUGGUUUCGACCGGUUAGAAAUACCAGCUGAAUUUCUCUUUUCUUAUACACUACCAGACGGGAUUUCGGAACAGCUAUCACUAUUUCAUGGGGGAAGGAAAAAGGUACGGAAGUAAGAGAGAGGUGGGGGACAAAAAAAAAUAGGAAAAAGGAUUGAAAUUUUGUGUGUGUGUAAGUGGGGGGGUGGUGUUUAGAAUCCUAAUUUUUGUUGCAUGAAACAGAAAUACUAAAAUAAAUAAAGGGGGAAAACUCCCAAUUCUUUGUCCCUUUUUGUGUAUCCCUACGAGGUAAUGGUAGCUCUUCUGAAACUCAGCUCACUACUUUUUUAUCCUUUACCAUUUUACUUGUUUCGGCCAUUAGACUGCGGUCAUGCUGGGGCACCGCCUUGAAGAAUUUUAGGCGAACAAAUCGAUCCCAGUACUUUUUUGGGGCGGGGGUAAAGAAUACGUACACCACCCGUUUUCGUCUUUUUUUCUUUUUUCGCCUGGUACUUAUUCUAUCGACCGUUUUUGCUGAACCGUUAAGUUACAGAGAUGCAAACACACCAGUGGACAAGCGGUGGAGGGGUAACAAAAAUUAAGAACAGAGACACACAUCAUCAUCGUCAUCGUCAUCAUCAUCCUUUUGCUUCCACUUUCUAUGCUAGCAUAAAUAAAACGGUUUGACUGGAGAUCUGCACCAGGUAUAUAUCAGCCGAAACGUUGUGUUGAUAACAAACAAGAUGAGGACAAAUAUCUGUCGAAUGUAAAUGAUGUACAUAAUUCCUCAUAGGCACAAGAGUGGCUGCGUGGUAAGUAGCUUGCUUACCAUCCACAUGAUUCCAGGUUCAGUCCCACUGCGUGGAGCUUUGGGCAAGUGUCUUCUACUAUAGCCACAGGGCCGACCAAAGCCUUGUGAGUGGAUUUGGUAGACAGAAACUGAAAGAAGCUCGUCGUAUAUACGUAUCAUCAUCAUCAUCGUUUAACGUCCGAUUUCCAUGCUAGCAUGGGUUGGACGGUUCAACUGGGGUCUGGGAAGCCCGAAGACUGCACCAGGCCAGUCAGAUCUGGCAGUGUUUCUACAGCUAGAUGCCCUUCCUAACGCCAACCACUCCGUGAGUGUAGUGGGUGCUUUUUAUGUGCCAACGACACAGGUGCCAGACGAGGCUGGCGAACGGCCACGCUCGGAUGGUGUUUUUUAUGUGCCACCAGCACGAAGGCCAGUCAAUGCGAUACUGGCUACGGCCACGUUCGGAUGGUUUUCUUAUGUGCCACCGGCACUGGUACCACAAAACUACAAAUUCCAUUGAUGUUCAUCGAUUUUGAUUUGAUUCUUUGAUUUUUGAUUUUCGAUUUUCACUUGCCUCAACAGGUCUCCACAAUUAGAGUUAUGUGUUCCAAGAAGGAAGGUAUGCACAGGUGGACUGACUACGUCCCAGGUAGGGGCCAUGGGUUAUGGCUUCACUUGUCCUGCCAGGUCUUCUCGCACACAGCAUACUUCCAAAGGUCUCGGUCUCUGGUCAUUUCCUCAGUGAGACCUAAAGAGCGAAGGUCGUUCUUCACCACCUCGUCCCAGGUUUUCCUGGGUCUACCUCUUCCACAGGUUCCCUCAACCGCUAGGGUGUAGCACUUU